rnacentral:rRNA from 1 species
AGCGAACGCUGGCGGCAGGCUUAACACAUGCAAGUCGAGCGGGCGUAGCAAUACGUCAGCGGCAGACGGGUGAGUAACGCGUGGGAACGUACCUUUUGGUUCGGAACAACCCAGGGAAACUUGGGCUAAUACCGGAUAAGCCCUUACGGGGAAAGAUUUAUCGCCGAAAGAUCGGCCCGCGUCUGAUUAGCUAGUUGGUGAGGUAACGGCUCACCAAGGCGACGAUCAGUAGCUGGUCUGAGAGGAUGAUCAGCCACAUUGGGACUGAGACACGGCCCAAACUCCUACGGGAGGCAGCAGUGGGGAUAUUGGACAAUGGGCGCAAGCCUGAUCCAGCCAUGCCGCGUGAGUGAUGAAGGCCCUAGGGUUGUAAAGCUCUUUUGUGCGGGAAGAUAAUGACGGUACCGCAAGAAUAAGCCCCCGGCUAACUUCGUGCCAGCCGCCG